rnacentral:lncRNA from 1 species
CAAUCACUACAGCAAAUGGCUUCCGACACGAACAAGCCUGGAUUUGCCUAAACAUCUGGGCCUCUUUGUAGACUUAGGUCAAUGACCCUGCUCGCCAGGGCCAGUAGGGGCAGCUUCUGCAGCUGCCGAUGUGUGCUCAGAACCAGUGUCCUGGGGCCGGCCCAUGGCCGAGUGGUUAAGUUCACACGUUCUGCUUCGGCGGCCCAGGGUUUCACUGGUUCGGAUCCUGGGCGCGGACAUGGCGCCACUCAUCAAGCCAUGCUGAGGCAGCAUCCCCCAUGCCACAACUAGAAGGACCUGCAACUAAGAUACACAAGCAAAGGCAACAAAAGCAAAAAUAAACAAAUGGGACUACAUCAAACUAAAAAGCUUUUACACAGUGAAGGAAACCAUUAUCAAAAUGAAAAGACAACCUACUGGAUGGGAGAAGAUAUUUGUAAAUGAUAUGUCCAAUCAGCGGUUAAUAUCCAAAAAUAUAUAAAGAACUCAUACAAUUCAGUAUCAAAAAACCAAACAAUCUGAUUAAAAAACAGGCAGAGGAUCUGAAAAGACGUUUUUCCAAAGAAGACAUACAGAUGGCCAACAGACACAAGAAAAGAUGCUCAACAUCGCUAAUCAUCAAGGAAAUGCAAAUCAAAACCACAAUGAGAUAUCACCUCACAUUUGUCUGAAUGGCUAUUAUCAAAAACACAACAAAUAACAAGUGUUGGUGAAGAUGUGGAAAAGAGGGAACCUUUGUACAGUGUUGGUGGAAAUGUAAAUUGGUGCAGCCACUAUGUGAAACAGUAUGGAGAUUCCUCAAAAAAUAAAAAAUAGAACUAUCAUAUGAUCCAGCAAUUCCAUUUCUGGGUAUUUAUCCAAAGAAAAUGAAAACUCUAAUUUGAAAAGAUACAUGCACUAUGUCCCUUGCAGCAUUACUCACAAUAGCCAAGACAUGGAAACAACCUAAGUGUUCAACAAGGGAAGAACGGAUAAAGAAGACGUGAUGUACAUAUAUACAAUGGAAUACAACUCAGCCAUGAAAAGAUGAAUCCUGCCAUUUACAACAACAUGGAUGGAUUUAGAGGGUAUUAUGCUAAGUGAAAUAAGUAAGACAGAGAAAGACAAAUACCAUAUGAAUUCACUUAUAUGUGGAAUCUAAAAAACAAAACAAACAAAGAAACAAAACAAAAUAGAAAUAAACUCAUAGAUACAGAGAACAAACUGGGGGCUGCCAGAGGGAAGGGG